rnacentral:lncRNA from 1 species
CAAAAUCAUUCCAUUCGGAAUUCUUUGCUUUCUUAAAGCGUCGGGCUUCUAAAUUCUCAUAAGGUCCUCCCGGAAUUUUCUCUACAGCUUGUUGAAUAAUUUUUAUGGAUUCCCUCAUUUCACCGAUUCGUACUAAAUAGCGAGCUAACGAAUCUCCUUCUUUUUGCCAUUGUACUUUCCAAUCAAAUUGAUUAUAAGACUCAUAAGGAUCAAUUUUAUGAAGAUCCCAUUGUGUUCCAGAAGCUCGUAACAUUGGGCCCGAUAAGCCCCAAUUUACAGCUUCUUCUCCGCUAAUAAAACCGACUCCUUCAACUCGUUCUAAAAAAAUAGGAUUCCGUGUAAUAAGUUGUUGAUAUUCAACAACUCCUCAUAAAAAAUAAUCACAGAAAUCUAAACAUUUAUCCAUCCAUCCAUAAGGUAGAUCAGCAGCUAUUCCUCCGAUGCGAAAGUAAUUAUGCAUCAUUCGCAUACCUGUAGCAGCUUCAAAUAGAUCAUAUAUCAAUUCUCUCUCUCUAAAAGUGUAGAAAAAAGGAGUCUGUGCCUCGAGAUCCGCCAUAAAAGGUCCAAGCCAUAACAAGUGAGAAGCUAUACAGCUCAAUUCUAACAUAAUUACCCUAAUAUAGCUUGCUCUUUGGGGUAUUUGAAUAUUCUCCAAGAAUUCUGGUGCAUUUACCGUUAUUGCUUCUGUAAACAUAGUAGCUAAAUAAUCCCACCGUGUUACAUAAGGCAAGUAUUGUAUAAUAGUUCUGUUUUCCGUGAUUUUUUCCAUUCCUCUGUGUAAAUACCCUAAUAUGGGUUCGCAAUCAAUAACAUCUUCACCAUCGAGAGUAACGAUCAGUCGAAGAACACCAUGCAUUGAUGGGUGUUGAGGGCCCAUAUUGACUAUCAUGAGAUCUUUUCUUGUAAGCGGUGGACUCAUAUCCUCGUUCUUAUUCUUUUUUCCAUGAAAAUGGAUUAUUCCAUGAAUUCCUCAAAACGAGGCUCAUCAAAAUGCAAAAUCUAAGACUACUAUAAGACUACUAAUAAAAUAAGAAAAAAAUUCGAACGAUUAAAUUACUUCUCCCGAAUAUCCAACUGACAGAUUAAUUUCUUAUAACGUACUCUAUUUUUCUUUGCCAAAUAAGCCAGCAAACAUUGACGUUUCCGCAAAAGUCUUCGUAGACCUCUUUCUGAUGAAAAAUCUUUUUUGUGUAAUUCCAAAUGUGAAGCAAGUCUCCGUAUCUCAUUGGUGAAACUGAAUACUUGAAAUUCAACAGAACCCCUAUUUUCUUAUUUUUCUUCUUUAACCAUAAAUCAAAAAAAAUUUCUACCUCCUUUCUUUUUCAUGUAUUUUUCUGAUCAGGAAAAAUAAAAAAUUAUGUCAGUUAUUUUGAAGUUAUUCUAAUCUCGUACACACAAAAAUUUGCAAUUAUUCAUCUAUUGCUGGAAUCUGGAAUUUGGAUUUAUUGUGUCGAUGCAAAUUGGAUUUGGAUAGAAGGGUACAUUCUUUUAUUUUAGAUAGAAGAAACAUUUCUUCUAUCUAAAAUAAAAGAAUUUUGCUGAUUUAUUGCUAUAUCCAAUUUAUAGAAUUGAUAUAGCAUUUAAUUGCUAUCAUUUAGCAAAAUGAAACACAGCAUUUGCAUCCAUCUUUCGGCUCGAGAAUUUCACGGGAUAGAGAUAUAGUAUAAGAAAUAGGCUAUUAAGUAACUCUAAAUGAAUUGUGGAUACAUCUGUAUCCUUAACAUACUGAAACGACUGCCAUUACUCGUAUCAACCCAAUAGUGAUUCAUAAAAGCUAAAUCUUGUAAUCAAUGUUGGGCCAAUAAUGAAUUUUUUUGCAUAUGUAUUAAGACGCUUGGUCUGAUUUCGAAAUUGUCCAGAGUUUUUUAUGUUGUUUUCAUUGCAAAAUGAUGGAUCUCCUUCCGUAACUUUCCAAUUACGAGUACGAGAAUUGAAAGACAUGAAAAUUCUCAAUUCUCUACGGCGUCUAGGAGAUAGAUAGAAUAUUUUUAGGAACAAGAAAAUUAGAAGAAUCUUUUCUCUAUUCACUACCAUUCCGCGUCUUCGACUUCUAUUAGUUUCUUUUCUUCUUUAAUGCAAUAGCUAUAGUUUGAUAUAGAAUCCAUUUCUCAAAGUAAUGGAAACCAUUCUCUUAUAGGAAAUGGUUCGAAAAUCGCUAUUCCACCUUUUAGGUUUAGGUACCGUGAAAAGUGAUACCUGUGAAGAUCGUGCAUUUCAGUCACAUUCAGAUCCGUUUUUCGAGUCCAUGAUAUAACCAAAUUGGAUGGAUCUUCCACCCGUUUAGCUAAGAAAGAAUAGAUGAAGAGGUGGAUAAUAGAUCGAUAUGAAGAUCAUGAGCUGCCCCAUAAUGAAACCGCCAGUAGUCGUGAAUAUCUCCUUCUUCCCUAACCCAAGAUUGGAGAAAGAAGAUGUAAGAGGGACCUAUGGAGAAUGUGGUCAGAAAUCCAUAAUAGAGUCCGACCACAACGACCGAAUUAAUUAUCCUCAUCGAGAAACUUAG